AUGAAAUGUUUCUAGAACCCGAGGGUCAGUUCUUUCACUAGGACUUUCCCUUAUCAACCCAUAUAGAGUGGUUGUUGGGCCUUGGCCCAAUGGUCGCUUUAUAAACACAUUUAUACCAAAGACUUUUUCAUAAAAGACUUUUUGAUUUAGAGCUUGCUCUAGAGAGAUUAGACUAUAUAAAGAAAAAG
rnacentral:misc_RNA from 1 species